rnacentral:rRNA from 1 species
UGGGGGAUAUUGCACAAUGGGCGAAAGCCUGAUGCAGCUACGCCGCGUGGGGGAUGAAGGCCUUCGGGUUGUAAACUUCUUUUGCUCUGAACAAGGCAUGCUAAUGGGUGUGUUGAGUGUAGGGGUUGAUUAGCGCCGGCUAACUACGUGCCAGCAGCCGCGGUAAUACGUAGGGCGCGAGCGUUGUCCGGAAUUAUUGGGCGUAAAGGGCUUGUAGGUGGCUGGUUGCGUCUGUCGUGAAAGCUCAUGGCUUAACUGUGGGUUUGCGGUGGGUACGGGCUGGCUUGAGUGCAGUAGGGGAGGCUGGAAUUCCUGGUGUAGCGGUGGAAUGCGCAGAUAUCAGGAGGAAUACCGGUGGCGAAGGCGGGUCUCUGGGCUGUUACUGACACUGAGGAGCGAAAGCAUGGGGAGCGAACAGG